UUCCAAGAUGCUUCUGUGCGGUCCACUUC
rnacentral:piRNA from 1 species